rnacentral:rRNA from 1 species
GACGAACGCUGGCGGCGUGCUUAACACAUGCAAGUCGAACGGUAAGGCUCCAGCUUGCUGGGGUACACGAGUGGCGAACGGGUGAGUAACACGUGGGUGACCUGCCCUGCACUUCGGGAUAAGCCUGGGAAACUGGGUCUAAUACCGGAUAGGACCGCACCGUGAGGGUGUGGUGGAAAGUUUUUUCGGUGUGGGAUGGGCCCGCGGCCUAUCAGCUUGUUGGUGGGGUAAUGGCCUACCAAGGCGGCGACGGGUAGCCGGCCUGAGAGGGUGGACGGCCACAUUGGGACUGAGACACGGCCCAGACUCCUACGGGAGGCAGCAGUGGGGAAUAUUGCACAAUGGGCGGAAGCCUGAUGCAGCGACGCCGCGUGGGGGAUGACGGCCUUCGGGUUGUAAACUCCUUUCACCAUCGACGAAGGGUUUCCGACGGUAGAUGGAGAAGAAGCACCGGCUAACUACGUGCCAGCAGCCGCGGUAAUACGUAGGGUGCGAGCGUUGUCCGGAAUUACUGGGCGUAAAGAGCUCGUAGGUGGUUUGUCGCGUCGUCUGUGAAAUUCCGGGGCUUAACUCCGGGCGUGCAGGCGAUACGGGCAUAACUUGAGUACUGUAGGGGAGACUGGAAUUCCUGGUGUAGCGGUGAAAUGCGCAGAUAUCAGGAGGAACACCGGUGGCGAAGGCGGGUCUCUGGGCAGUAACUGACGCUGAGGAGCGAAAGCAUGGGGAGCGAACAGGAUUAGAUACCCUGGUAGUCCAUGCCGUAAACGGUGGGCGCUAGGUGUGGGUUUCCUUCCACGGGAUCCGUGCCGUAGCUAACGCAUUAAGCGCCCCGCCUGGGGAGUACGGCCGCAAGGCUAAAACUCAAAGGAAUUGACGGGGGCCCGCACAAGCGGCGGAGCAUGUGGAUUAAUUCGAUGCAACGCGAAGAACCUUACCUGGGCUUGACAUAUAGAGGAUCGCUGCAGAGAUGUGGUUUCCCUUGUGGCUUCUAUACAGGUGGUGCAUGGUUGUCGUCAGCUCGUGUCGUGAGAUGUUGGGUUAAGUCCCGCAACGAGCGCAACCCUUGUCUUAUGUUGCCAGCACGUUAUGGUGGGGACUCGUGAGAGACUGCCGGGGUCAACUCGGAGGAAGGUGGGGAUGACGUCAAAUCAUCAUGCCCCUUAUGUCCAGGGCUUCACACAUGCUACAAUGGCCGGUACAGAGGGCUGCGAUGCUGUAAAGCGGAGCGAAUCUCUUAAAGCCGGUCUCAGUUCGGAUUGGGGUCUGCAACUCGACCCCAUGAAGUCGGAGUCGCUAGUAAUCGCAGAUCAGCAACGCUGCGGUGAAUACGUUCCCGGGCCU